rnacentral:rRNA from 1 species
GUAACAUAUAUACUAGCUAUGCUAGAAGAUAGACGAGUGGCGGACGGGUGAGUAAUGCUUGGGAACUUGCCUUUGCGAGGGGGAUAACAGUUGGAAACGACUGCUAAUACCGCAUAAUGUCUUCGGACCAAACGGGGCUUCGGCUCCGGCGCAAAGAGGGCCCAAGUGAGAUUAGCUAGUUGGUAAGGUAACGGCUUACCAAGGCGACGAUCUCUAGCUGUUCUGAGAGGAAGAUCAGCCACACUGGGACUGAGACACGGCCCAGACUCCUACGGGAGGCAGCAGUGGGGAAUAUUGCACAAUGGGGGAAACCCUGAUGCAGCCAUGCCGCGUGUGUGAAGAAGGCCUUCGGGUUGUAAAGCACUUUCAGUUGUGAGGAAAAGUUAGUAGUUAAUACCUGCUAGCCGUGACGUUAACAACAGAAGAAGCACCGGCUAACUCCGUGCCAGCAGCCGCGGUAAUACGGAGGGUGCGAGCGUUAAUCGGAAUUACUGGGCGUAAAGCGCACGCAGGCGGUUUGUUAAGCUAGAUGUGAAAGCCCCGGGCUCAACCUGGGAUGGUCAUUUAGAACUGGCAGACUAGAGUCUUGGAGAGGGGAGUGGAAUUCCAGGUGUAGCGGUGAAAUGCGUAGAUAUCUGGAGGAACAUCAGUGGCGAAGGCGACUCCCUGGCCAAAGACUGACGCUCGAGUGCGAAAGUGUGGGUAGCGAAGCAGGAUUAGAUACCCUGGUAGUCCACACCGUAAAC